GUCUUUGGCAUGGCAGCCUGGGAUGGUCACAUAGAACUCAGUGGCAUGGCGAUCCUGCAGGUGUCCAGCAGAAAGAGAUCACACAGAAACCAUCCACCUCCACAAUCACCCUGGUGACCAGCACCUAUUCGUCGCCCCUGGUGACCAGCUCAGGAUCCAUGAGCACCCUUGCACCUUCUGUCAGCCCGCCCAUCACUACUGCUUCAGCUGAUGUCACUGCAGACACCGCCAAGUACACUAGCAAUAUUCUGGAAGGUGAAUGGGAUCUGCUCAUGAGGGGGACUGACAUGCAAGGAGGCGGCACUUGGAAGUCCUCACUGUGGACAGCUGAGUGA
ensembl:lincRNA